UACGAUUUUGUUGUUAAAAUUAUUUUAUUUUAUUAUUAUGUUGAUAAAAUAAUUUAUUUUUUGUUGUAGGCUUCUCCUAUCUUCCAUUGUCUCCUAUCCUCCAUUAUCUCAUUCAUCUUCACAAGGGUGACGAAGUCAUGGGAGAUAUAGAUAGCCUUGUUCAGCGGACUCGACGUUUAAAUGUUGUCGACACAGAUCGUAGACGAAUUCGACGGCGACGACGACGACAAGGCGAUGAUGUCGUAGAGGGAGAUGGGGAAGCUUCUUAAGUUGUAUAAUUUAAGUGUUUUUAAAUUUUGCUAAAUAAAAAGUUGAACUUUUUAAAAUUAAUUAUAAAUUAGAAGUUGUUAAUACACGAUUUAGAUGUAGGAGUAUUCUUAAUAAUAUCAAUAUAUAAUAUAUAUUUUUUAAAAGUAGAGAACCAAGUAUUAAAAAAAACGUUCAAAAUUCUUAUAAGAUAUCACUAAUGAUGUGUUUACCUUUGGUUUA